UUGCUUCAGCAGCAGAAAUAGUAAAUUGGAAUGAUAUGGAGAAAGUUAGCAUGGCCCCUGCACAAGGAUGGCACACACAUUCUGAAACAGUUCAUAAUUUUU